GAGUUUGAUCCUGGCUCAGAACGAACGCUGGCGGCGUGCUUAACACAUGCAAGUCGAACGUGAUCCAGAGCUUGCUCUGGUGAAAGUGGCGCACGGGUGAGUAACGCGUGGAUAACCUGCCCUGGUAUCUGGGAUAACAUCUCGAAAGGGGUGCUAAUACCGGAUAAGCCUACGGGMUCUUCGGAKUCUGCAGGAAAAGGAGGCCUCUAUUUAUAAGCUUCCGUAUCAUGAUGGGUCCGCGUACCAUUAGCUAGUUGGUGGGGUAAUGGCCUACCAAGGCGACGAUGGUUAGCUGGUCUGAGAGGAUGAUCAGCCACACUGGAACUGAGACACGGUCCAGACUCCUACGGGAGGCAGCAGUGGGGAAUUUUGCGCAAUGGGGGAAACCCUGACGCAGCAACGCCGCGUGAGUGAUGAAGGCUUUCGGGUCGUAAAGCUCUGUCAGAGGGGAAGAAAUGAAACGUGCUAAUAUCACGUUUUCUUGACGGUACCCUCAAAGGAAGCACCGGCUAACUCCGUGCCAGCAGCCGCGGUAAUACAAGGGCGMMYUCW
rnacentral:rRNA from 1 species